GGUGAACGCUGGCGGCGUGCCUAACACAUGCAAGUCGAGCGGGUACCCGCAAGGGUACCAGCGGCGCACGGGUGAGUAACACGUGGGUAAUCUACCCCUCGGAGGGGGAUAACCGGGGGAAACUCCGGCUAAUACCCCAUACGAUCCAACAACACAAGUUGUUGGAUGAAAGGAGCGUUUGCUCCGCCGAGGGAUGAGCCCGCGGCCCAUCAGGUAGUUGGUGGGGUAAUGGCCCACCAAGCCUACGACGGGUAGCCGGCCUGAGAGGGUGGUCGGCCACAAGGGCACUGAGACACGGGCCCUACUCCUACGGGAGGCAGCAGUGGGGAAUCUUGGACAAUGGGCGAAAGCCUGAUCCAGCGACGCCGCGUGGGGGAUGAAGCCCUUCGGGGUGUAAACCCCUGUUGCGAGGGAGGAAUAAGGCCUGGAGGAAAUGCCAGGCCGAUGACUGUACCUCGCGAGGAAGCCCCGGCUAACUACGUGCCAGCAGCCGCGGUAAUACGUAGGGGGCGAGCGUUACCCGGAUUCACUGGGCGUAAAGCGGGUGUAGGCGGCUCGGUAAGUCGGGUGUGAAAUCCCACAGCUCAACUGUGGAAUUGCGCCCGAAACUGCUGAGCUUGGGGCCGGUAGAGGGAGACGGAACUGCCGGUGUAGGGGUGAAAUCCGUAGAUAUCGGCAGGAACGCCGGUGGGGAAGCCGGUCUCCUGGGCCGCGCCCGACGCUGAGACCCGAAAGCUAGGGGAGCAAACCGGAUUAGAUACCCGGGUAGUCCUAGCCGUAAACGAUGCCCACUAGGUGUGGGGGAUUAAUUCCUCCGUGCUGUAGCUAACGCGUUAAGUGGGCCGCCUGGGGAGUACGCCCGCAAGGGUGAAACUCAAAGGAAUUGGCGGGACCCCGCACAAGCGGUGGAGCGCGUGGCUUUAACUUGGAUGCUGAGCCAAGAAACCUUACAGGGCUUGACAUGCAGUGGGUACCUGACCUCGAAAGGGGAGGGACCUCAUCUUUCGGCAUGGGGGUAGUCUGCUCAGCUGGGUGCA
rnacentral:rRNA from 1 species